CAUGACUCUCGAAGUCAUAUGCGGUAGCAAUACCAAACCAAAUACGAUGAGUAGUGGGGUCCUGAGCUAAGCCUUGGCUAAACCUUGGAAAUCGUAAUGCCAUAAUGCUUUUCAAAUCCUCUCCUAGCCAUUAUCCUACUGCAAUAAUUCUUGCUAAGAAGAAUGCCCAUGUUGUGGCAAUUCCACCCAGAAGGUAAUGGGUUACUCCUACAGCACGUCCUUGUAUAAUGCUCAAGGCUCUCGGCUGAGUAGCAGGAGCAACUUUUAAUUUAUUAUGAGCCCAAACGAUGGAUUCAAUAAGUUCUUGCCAAUAACCACGUCCGCUGAAUAGAAACAUUAAACUAAAAGCCCAGACAAAAUGAGCGCCUAGGAAAAAAAGGCCAUAUGCAGAUAAUGAAGAACCAUAAGACUAAAUUACUUGGGAUGCCUGUGACCAUAAGAAAUCGCGGAGCCACCCAUUAAUAGUAAUAGAACUCUGCGCAAAGUUUUCUCCCGUGAUAUGAGUUACUACCCCUUGAUUACUUAUACUACCCCAAACAUCUGACUUAUACUACCCCAAACAUCUGACUGCAUUUUCCAACUGAAAUGGAAUAUUACUACCAAAAUUGAAUUGUACUUCCAGAAUAGUCCUAAGAACACAUGAUCCCAGGCCGAUACUUAACAUGUACCCCCUCUUCCAGGUCCAUCACAAGGAAAACAAAAACCAAGAUUUGCCUUAUCUGGUAUCAAAUGAGAACUGCGAGCAAAUAGACCUCCUUUCAAGAGUAUCAAUACCGUUACAUGAAUCGUAAAUGCAUGAAUGUGAUGUACCAAGAAAUCGGCGGUUCCUAAUAGAAUAGGCAACAAAGCCACCUUGCCACCCACUGCCACUAAAUCACCACCCCCAAGUUAAACUGGUGCUUGCUGUUGCACCAAGAGUCGUUGCCCUAGGUGCUAAAGCAUGGGUGUUUUGUAUCCAUUGAGCAAAAACGGGUUGUAAUUGUAUAGAGGUAUCUGAAAACAUAUCUUGAGGAUGCCCUAAAGCGCUCAUGGUAUCAUUAUGAAUAUACAAACAAAAACUAUGAAAGCCUAGAAAAAUACAUGCCCAGUUGAGAUGGGAUAUGAUUGCAUCACGAUGCCUAAGGACAUGAUCUAAUAGAUCGUUGUACCGAAUAGUUGGAUCAUAAUCUCUUACCAUAAAAAUGGUUACAUGCGUGGCAGCACCAACUAUAAGAAAUCCACCAAUCCACAUGUGAUAUGUGAACAAUAACAGUUGUGUACCAUAGUCAGCAGCUAAAUAUGGAUAAGGGGGCAUGGAAUACAUAUGAUGAGCUACAACAAUGGUUAAAGAGCCUAACAUAGCUAAGUUAAGAGAUAAUUGAGCAUGCCAUGACGUUGUUAGGAUCUCAUAUAAGCCUUUAUGGCCCUGACCUGUAAAUGGACCUUUAUGGGCUUCUAAAAUAUCUUUUAGUCCAUGACCAAUACCCCAAUUGGUUUUAUACAUGUGACCCGCUACCAGGAAAAAAAUUGCAAUAGCUAAAUAGUAAUGGACAAUAUCAGUCAGCCACAGACCCCCAGUUACUGGAUCUAAUCCUCCACAAAAAGUAAGAAAGUCCGUAUAUUUUGACCAAUUCAAGGUGAAAAAUGGAGCUGCUCCCUCGGCAAAACUGGGAUAAAGUUGAGCCAAAAGAUGUCGAUUCAAGAUAAAUUCAUGAGGAAGUGGUAUCUCUUUAGGAUCUACUCCAGCUUUUAGAAAUUGGUUAGUCGGUAAAGAUACGUGUACUUGAUGCCCCGCCCAAGAAAGAGACCCAAGUCCUAGUAGCCCUGCCAAAUGGUGAUUCAGCAUAGAUUCUACAUCUUGAAACCAAGCCAAUUUUGGCGCCGCUUUAUGAUAAUAAAACCAACCAGCAAAAGCAUUAACGCUGCAAAGACCAAUGCCCCAAUUGUUGUACAAUAGAAUUGUAAUUCACUAGUUAUUCCAGAUACUCACCAAAUCUGAAAAAAACCAAAGGUUAUUUGUAUUUCUCGGAAACCCCCGCCUACGUCACCAUUUAAUAUUUCUUGGCCCACUAUUGGCCAAACCACCUAGGCACUAGGCCCAAUAUGAGUAGGAUCACUUAGCCACGCUUCAUAAUUAGAAAAAUGAGCACCGUGGAAAUACAUGCUGCUCAGCCAAAGAAAGAUGAUGGAGAGUUGACCGAAAUGUGCACUAAAUACUUUUCAAGAGAUCUCCUCCAAAUCACUGGUAUGGCUAUCAAAAUCAUGAGCAUUAGCAUGUAGGUUCCAGAUCCAAGUGGUAGUAUCAGGCCCUUUAGCUAUUGUUCUUGAGAAAUGACCCGAUCUGGCCCUUUCCUCGAAAGAAGUUUUUACGGGAUCCCUAUCUACCAAAAUUUUAACUUCUGGUUCCGGCAAAUGAAUAAUCAUUGAGUCCUCCUCUUUCCGAACAGCACAUACAAAGAGACUCGCCAACAGUCAAAUAAUUAGUGACCCUUAGAGAUAGAGAGAUAUUUCUAUAAUUAGU
rnacentral:lncRNA from 1 species